rnacentral:lncRNA from 1 species
UUGUAGAAUACUUAUGGUAAAUCAUUAUCUAGUGUCACCAACAGUUUCAUCUUUCAUCUACCCCAACAAAAUCUAAUGCUUAUAGUUAUAUAGACAACGAGAUUACAAUAUCUAACUAUAUAUUCAACUGAGAAGAUGGGAUUGAAAAAACAAAAAUGUGCUUAGGAAAGGAUAUUUAGGGAUCACAUUUAGCAAUUUCUGUCAUUUGUCAACUUUAACCGCCAAGGAGGAACAAACGGUUCCAAGAAAUUCAAUGCCGCUCAGGAGGGCUUGGUACAUUAAAAAUAACCAGAGUAAAGGAACACCUUUUCAAUUCUAUACUUUCAGAGGUAGAGUGAUAGUGAUAUAACAUGAUAUAUCAAAAUCAGGUUAUAUAUAGUUUCUUUCACAUCAAUAAAUUAUACUUUCUAUCACAGUAGAUUAUACUCCCAUGUCACCACCAAAUUCGAAAGGCGGUCAAGCAAAUAAUAUGAGACCAAAGGAUAUAAAUGAUUCAUACAGUUUUCCUAAUGUUUGUGCAAAUGUGCCUGGUUGGUUGAUAAGAAACUAGAGACUAUUGGAUAUAUAUUAGUUGAGAAGAGGCAACUUAAUUAAAACGCACCUUCUGGUUCCUAUAUGGCUCUCCUCUCACA